rnacentral:rRNA from 1 species
UACGUAGGGGGCAAGCGUUGUCCGGAAUCAUUGGGCGUAAAGCGCGUGUAGGCGGCCCGGUAAGUCCGCUGUGAAAGUCGGGGGCUCAACCCUCGAAUGCCGGUGGAUACUGUCGGGCUAGAGUGCGGAAGAGGCGAGUGGAAUUCCUGGUGUAGCGGUGAAAUGCGCAGAUAUCAGGAGGAACACCAAUGGCGAAGGCAGAUCUCUGGGCCGUAACUGACGCUGAGGAGCGAAAGCAUGGGGAGCGAACAGG